rnacentral:lncRNA from 1 species
AAAAAGGCGAGAAUCAGCAAAGCAAAAUAGUAGCAGCAGGUGAACAACCAGUUUAAACCCAUCAAAUUGAAGCAAAGUAGUCUAGAAAAUCAACUCCAAUCCCAGCAAUGAAUCAGAAGACUUCCCUAAGCUUGAUUUCAGUUCAUUUCAGCUACCAUCUACUCAAAAUUGUUUCAUACACUAGUAGAAACUUCAAAAAAUCAACCACAGGACUCAAUGAAACAAUAUCUUCUUAAAGUUUUUAGUCGUAUUGAUUUCAGGAUUUACAGUACUUGGAAACU